rnacentral:rRNA from 1 species
AGCAGCCGCGGUAAUUCCAGCUCCAAUAGCGUAUAUUAAAGUUGUUGCAGUUAAAAAGCUCGUAGUUGAACCUCGGGAUCAAUGGAUCGGUCAUGCCAUCGGUAUGUACUGGUCUCAUUGGUUCUCACCUUCUAAGGAACCAUGAUGUCAUUCAGUUGAUGUUGUGGGGAAUUAGGACUGUUACCUUGAAAAAUUAGAGUGUUUAAAGCAGGCUAACGCUUGAAUACAUUAGCAUGGAAUAAUGAAAUAGGACAUCGCAUUCUAUUUUGUUGGUUUCUAGGAUCGAUGUAAUGAUUAAUAGGGAUAGUUGGGGGCAUUAGUAUUCAAUUGUCAGAGGUGAAAUUCUUGGAUUUAUUGAAGACUAACUACUGCGAAAGCAUUUGCCAAGGAUGUUUUCAUUAAUCAAGAACGAAAGUUAGGGGAUCGAAGACGA